GACGAACGCUGGCGGCGUGCUUAACACAUGCAAGUCGAACGGUGACGAGGAGCUUGCUCCUCUGAUCAGUGGCGAACGGGUGAGUAACACGUGAGCAACCUGCCCCAGACUCUGGGAUAACAGUUGGAAACAGCUGCUAAUACCGGAUACGAGACGGAGAGGCAUCUCUACCGUCUGGAAAGUUUUUCGGUCUGGGAUGGACUCGCGGCCUAUCAGCUAGUUGGUGAGGUAAUGGCUCACCAAGGCGACGACGGGUAGCCGGCCUGAGAGGGCGACCGGCCACACUGGGACUGAGACACGGCCCAGACUCCUACGGGAGGCAGCAGUGGGGAAUAUUGCACAAUGGGCGAAAGCCUGAUGCAGCGACGCCGCGUGAGGGAUGAAGGCCUUCGGGUUGGUUAACCGUACUUUCUAGCAGGGAAGGAAGGACGAAAGUAGACGGUACCUGCAGAAGAAGACACCGGCUAACGUAACGUGCCAGCAGCCGCGGUAAUACGU
rnacentral:rRNA from 1 species